ensembl:snRNA U6 U6 spliceosomal RNA
GUGCUCUCUUUGGCAGCACAUAUACUAAAAUUGGAACGAUACAGAGAAGAUUAGCAUGGCCCCUGUGCAAGGAUGACAUGCAAGUUCCUGAAGCGUUCCAUAUUUAA